rnacentral:rRNA from 1 species
GAUGAACGCUGGCGGCGUGCCUAAUACAUGCAAGUCGAGCGAACAGAUGAGGAUCUUGCUCCUCUGACGUUAGCGGCGGACGGGUGAGUAACACGUGGAUAACCUACCUAUAAGACUGGGAUAACUUCGGGAAACCGGAUCUAAUACCGGAUAAUAUAUUGAACCGCAUGGUUCAAUAGUGAAAGACGGUUUUGCUGUCACUUAUAGAUGGAUCCGCGCCGCAUUAGCUAGUUGGUAAGGUAACGGCUUACCAAGGCAACGAUGCGUAGCCGACCUGAGAGGGCGAUCGGCCACACUGGAACUGAGACACGGUCCAGACUCCUACGGGAGGCAGCAGUAGGGAAUUUUCCGCAAUGGGCGAAAGCCUGACGGAGCAACGCCGCGUGAGUGAUGAAGGUCUUCGGAUCGUAAAACUCUGUUAUUAGGGAAGAACAAAUGUGUAAGUAAAUAUGCACGUCUUGACGGUACCUAAUCAGAAAGCAACGGCUAACUACGUG